rnacentral:rRNA from 1 species
GAUGAACGCUGGCGGCGUGCCUAAUACAUGCAAGUCGAGCGAACGGACGAGAAGCUUGCUUCUCUGAAGUUAGCGGCGGACGGGUGAGUAACACGUGGAUAACCUACCUAUAAGACUGGGAUAACUUCGGGAAACCGGAGCUAAUACCGGAUGAUAUUUUGAACCGCAUGGUUCAAAAGUGAAAGACGGUCUUGCUGUCACUUAUAGAUGGAUCCGCGCUGCAUUAGCUAGUUGGUAAGGUAACGGCUUACCAAGGCAACGAUGCAUAGCCGACCUGAGAGGGGGAUCGGCCCCACUGGAACUGAGCCACGGCCCAGACCCCUACGGGGGGCAGCAGUAGGGAAUCUUCCGCAAUGGGCGAAAGCCUGACGGAGCAACGCCGCGGGAGUGAUGAAGGUCUUCGGUUCGUAAAACUCUGUUAUUAGGGAAGAACAUAUGUGUAAGUAACUGUGCCAAUUUUGACGGGCCCUAAUCAGAAAGCCCCGGCUAACUCCGU